UCGAGAAUAAUUCACAAUGGACGAAAGUCUGAUGGUGCAACGCCGCGUGGAGGAUGAAGGUCUUCGGAUUGUAAACUCCUGUCAUCGGGGAGUAAGACCUGGCGGUAAAUAGCCGACAGGGUUGAUAGUACCCGAAGAGGAAGGGACGGCUAACUUCGUGCCAGCAGCCGCGGUAAUACGAAGGUCCCAAGCGUUGUUCGGAAUCACUGGGCGUAAAGGGAGCGUAGGCGGCGUGGUAAGUCAGAUGUGAAAUCCCGGCGCUCAACCCCGGAACUGCAUCCGAUACUGCCAUGCUUGAGGGUUGUAGAGGUAGCUGGAAUUCUCGGUGUAGCUGUGAAAUGCGUGGAUAGCGAGAGGAACACUCGUGGCGAAGGCGAGCUACUGGGCAACAUCUGUCGCUGAGGCUCGAAGGCCAGGGGAGCAAAAGGGA
rnacentral:rRNA from 1 species